UACGUAGGGGGCAAGCGUUGUCCGGAAUUAUUGGGCGUAAAGAGCUCGUAGGCGGUUUGUCGCGUCUGCUGUGAAAACCUAAGGCUCAACCUUGGGCUUGCAGUGGGUACGGGUAGACUAGAGUGCGGUAGGGGUGACUGGAAUUCCUGGUGUAGCGGUGGAAUGCGCAGAUAUCAGGAGGAACACCGGUGGCGAAGGCGGGUCUCUGGGCCGAUACUGACACUGAGGAGCGAAAGCGUGGGGAGCGAACAGG
rnacentral:rRNA from 1 species